CGGGGAGGUAGUGACGAAAAAUAACGAUACGGGACUCAUCCGAGGCCCCGUAAUCGGAAUGAGUACACUUUAAAUCCUUUAACGAGGACCAAUUGGAGGGCAAGUCUGGUGCCAGCAGCCGCGGUAAUUCCAGCUCCAAUAGCGUAUAUUAAAGUUGUUGCGGUUAAAAAGCUCGUAGUUGAAUCUGUGUGUCACAGUGUCGGUUCACCGCUCGCGGUGUUUAACUGGCAUUAUGUGGUACGUCCUACCGGUGGGCUUAGCUCCUCGCGGGGCGGUCCAAUUAAUUACCCAUCGCGGUGCUCUUCACUGAGUGUCGAGGUGGGCCGGUACGUUUACUUUGAACAAAUUAGAGUGCUCAAAGCAGGCUAUCUUCGCCUGAAUACUCUGUGCAUGGAAUAAUGGAAUAGGACCUCGGUUCUAUUUUGUUGGUUUUCGGAACCCCGAGGUAAUGAUUAAUAGGGACAGAUGGGGGCAUUCGUAUUGCGACGUUAGAGGUGAAAUUCUUGGAUCGUCGCAAGACGGACUAAAGCGAAAGCAUUUGCCAAAAAUGUUUUCAUUAAUCAAGAACGAAAGUUAGAGGUUCGAAGGCGAUCAGAUACCGCCCUAGUUCUAACCAUAAACGAUGCCAGCUAGCGAUCCGCCGAAGUUCCUUAGAUGACUCGGCGGGCAGCUUCCGGGAAACCAAAGCUUUUGGGUUCCGGGGGAAGUAUGGUUGCAAAGCUGAAACUUAAAGGAAUUGACGGAAGGGCACCACCAGGAGUGGAGCCUGCGGCUUAAUUUGACUC
rnacentral:rRNA from 1 species